CUACGGGCGGCAGCAGUGGGGAAUAUUGCACAAUGGGCGCAAGUCUGAUGCAGCCAUGCCGCGUGUAUGAAGAAGGCCUUCGGGUUGUAAAGUACUUUCAGCGGGGAGGAAGGGAGUAAAGUUAAUACCUUUGCUCAUUGACGUUACCCGCAGAAGAAGCACCGGCUAACUCCGUGCCAGCAGCCGCGGUAAUACGGAGGGUGCAAGCGUUAAUCGGAAUUACUGGGCGUAAAGCGCACGCAGGCGGUUUGUUAAGUCAGAUGUGAAAUCCCCGGGCUCAACCUGGGAACUGCAUCUGAUACUGGCAAGCUUGAGUCUCGUAGAGGGGGGUAGAAUUCCAGGUGUAGCGGUGAAAUGCGUAGAGAUCUGGAGGAAUACCGGUGGCGAAGGCGGCCCCCUGGACGAAGACUAACGCUCAGGUGCGAAAGCGUGGGGAGCAAACAGGAUUAGAUACCCCUGUAGUC
rnacentral:rRNA from 1 species